GUAAAUAUAGUUUAAUAAAAACCCUAGAUUGUGAUUCUAGAUAAAGAUUAAAACUCUUUUAUUUACC
rnacentral:tRNA from 1 species